CCGAAGCUCCCACAGUCAAAACCUUUGUAUCCACAUGUUGUUCACGGUAGCGUUUUGAAUACUUGCUUCGCGUUGUGCCGGCGAAAUGCACAUUUCUUGUCGCGUUGUGCCGGCGAAAUGCACACUUCUUGGACCCCUGCAUAACUGCUUGCAGUUCUAGUUAGGGGUCCAAGCCAACAGGUUGGAUCCCUAUUGUUUUUGUAAGGAUUAUUAUUCUUCCCCCCUUGAAAGUGAUACUACAGCCCAAACCGUAAAUGGUGCACACGCGCCAAUUGCAUGACUUGAUCCAGAAUCGGCACCGCUACUCAGAUAACAAAAUCCAGACACGCCGGCCCCUAGGUGGCGCUAUACCAAAGAAUACGCGUUUGGGGCUAUAACUCCCACACCGAACCUCCCACAGUCAAAAACUUGUACCCACAUAUUCACUGGAGUCUGCUGCAUCUUUU
ensembl:lncRNA